AUGAUUGGGACAUUCUGGAAUGUUAGAGGUCUUAAUGGCUCUUAUAAGAGUACCAGAGUGCAAGAGCUUAUUAAAGCUUGUAGCCCAGAUUUUAUUUGUUUGCCUGAAACAAAAAAAGCCAACUUCACCAUCCCACAACUAGAGGCCAUUGAUUCUAGGAGUGGUUUUGUGUGGAAUUGGCUUCCUGCUGUGGGCACUGCUGGAGGUGUCCUAGUAGGUGUUAAAGAAGACCGUUAUGACAUUAUCUAGUGUGAGAUAGGUACCUUUUGCAUUUCUUGUAUUUUGAAAUUUAAACACAAUGACAUUAAGUGGAGACUUAUAUCUGUCUAUGGCUCUGCUUACGAUGAGUUCAUACUAGAUUUCCUUAAUGAACUCAAUAGUGUCCUUGCUAGUUGGUCAGGCCCUACACUAGUAGGGGGUGACUUUAAUUUGGUUAGA
rnacentral:rRNA from 1 species